GCCAGAUUCCUGUACUACAGUAUGACAGAACUGUGGGGACGCAGAAGGAGAGCACUACCUGGAAUGGAAUCCAGGGGCAAGCACAGGAGGGGUACGGCUGGAAAAACCGCCGUGCAACCCAAAGGUGUGACGCAUACCGAACUAAAGUAGGGAAAUGUGUGAGCCGGCUGCCGAGAAAAGCCGCUAUUGUUUGUACUGUACCCGUACCGUAAACCGACACAGGUGGAUGAGGAGAGAAUCCUAAGGCCGACGGAAGAAGCAUUGCUAAGGAACUCGGCAAAAUGACCCUGUAACUUCGGGAGAAAGGGUGCCUCGAAAGAGGCCGCAGAGAAUAGGCCCAAGCAACUGUUUAGCAAAAACACAGGUCUAUGCAAAACCGCAAGGUGAAGUAUAUGGGCUGACGCCUGCCCGGUGCUGGAAGGUUAAGGGGAGAUGUCAGGAGACGAAGCAUCGAACUUAAGCCCCAGUAAACGGCGGCCGUAACGAUAACGGUCCUAAGGUAGCGAAAUUCCUUGUCGGGUAAGUUCCGACCCGCACGAAAGGCGUAAUGAUUUGGGCGCUGUCUCGGCAAUGCAUCCGGUGAAAUUGAAGUGCCAGUGAAGAUGCUGGCUACCCGCGCCAGGACGGAAAGACCCCAUGGAGCUUUACUCCAGCUUGAUACUGGGAUUCGGUAUUGUAUGUACAGGAUAGGUGGGAGGCUGAGAAAUGGUGACGCCAGUCGCCAUGGAGCCGCUGUUGGGAUACCACCCUUGCAGUACUGGAUUUCUAACCAGCAGCCGUGAUCCGGCUGGGGGACAAUGUCAGGUGGGGAGUUUGACUGGGGCGGUCGCCUCCGAAAGGGUAUCGGAGGCGCUCAAAGGUUCCCUCAGAAUGGUCGGAAACCAUUCGAAGAGUGCAAAGGCAGAAGGGAGCUUGACUGCGACACCGACGGGUGGGGCAGGUACGAAAGUAGGACUUAGUGAUCCGGUGGUAUUAAGUGGGAAUGCCAUCGCUCAACGGAUAAAAGCUACCCUGGGAUAACGCUUAUCACUCCCAAGAGUUCACAUCGACGGAGUGGUUUGGCACCUCGAUGUCGGCUCAUCGCAUCCUGGGGCUGUAGUAGGUCCCAAGGGUUGGGCUGUUCGCCCAUUAAAGCGGUACGCGAGCUGGGUUCAGAACGUCGUGAGACAGUUCGGUCCCUAUCCGGCGUGGGCGUAGGAUAUUUGAGAGGAGCUGACCUUAGUACGAGAGGACCGGGUUGGACUGACCUCUGGUGCACCGGUUGUCAUGCCAAUGGCACAGCCGGGUAACCAAGUCGGGAAGGGAUAAACGCUGAAGGCAUCUAAGCGUGAAGCCCCCCUCAAGAUGAGAUAUCCCCCGCAUAAGCGGUAAGACCCCUUGAAGACGACGAGGUAGAUAGGGCAGAGGUGGAAGUGCAGUAAUGUAUGGAGCUGACUGCUACUAAUGGGUCGAAGGCUUAUC
rnacentral:rRNA from 1 species